UUCCACACCAUGAGAUAAAAGACUACAAGACAAAUUUUCAAGUUGUGCAUCAAAAAGUAAUCUUUCAUGCUACAAAUAUAUUAUCUAUCGAUAUCAAAAUAAAUGAAUGUGGUGUAACGAUUCCAGGAAAUCCUAUCCAUGAUUUCGAAAUGAGGUUAGUCCGUUGUUUCGAUGGAACACUAUUUAGCCUUUUCUCUUCCAAAAGAAUGUAGGAUCUUUUGGAAAUGAGCAAUUUCAAGUCUCUUCAAUAUUUGGACGAAACGAGGAAGCACAUUUCUAGACAAUAUCAUGAUUGGAAGAUUUUUCAGAUCUUUUUGGAUCAAAGAGUGUGAACUUCUUAGAUUUUGGGAUUACUCUUUUGCUUGUAUACUUGAUGGAAUCACCUGUUUUCUUCUCUUCAAUUAAGCAGGAGAAACUUCUUUCGAUCUCCUCAUCAGAAUCAACAAUAACUCUAUAUUCUCUUUCCAGCACCAGGCGCUGCUAAUAUUUAAGAUGAAAUCUUUAUUCAUUCCGUAGAAUAAUGUGUAAAUUUUGGAUUCAAUAAUCAAGGAAUGGCUUAAUAUUGCCUUUCAAAAAUGCAAUUAC